GACAGAGGUGCCGAGCGUUAGGCGGAAUCACUGGGCUUAAAGCGUGUGUAGGCGGGCGGGCAAGUACCUUGUGAAAUCCCACGGCUCAACCGUGGAACGGCUGGGUAUACUGCCUGUCUUGAGCCAACUAGGGGCGAGCGGAACAGACGGUGGAGCGGUGAAAUGCGUAGAUAUCGUCUGGAACGCCCAAGGUGAAAACAGCUCGCUGGGGUUGUGCUGACGCUGAGACACGAAAGCCAGGGGAGCGAACGGG
rnacentral:rRNA from 1 species